GUCCACGGCCAUGCCACUUUGAACGUGCCCCAUCUCAUCUGAUCUCGGAAGCUAAGCAGGGUUGGGCCUUGUUAGUACUUGGAUGGGAGAUCACCUAGGAAUAUCAGGUGCUGUAGGCA
rnacentral:rRNA from 1 species